rnacentral:rRNA from 1 species
UACAGAGGUCUCAAGCGUUGUUCGGAUUCAUUGGGCGUAAAGGGUGCGUAGGCGGCGGGGCAAGUCUGAUGUGAAAUCCCGGGGCUCAACCUCGGAACUGCAUUGGAUACUGCCUUGCUAGAGUACUGGAGAGGAGACUGGAAUUUACGGUGUAGCAGUGAAAUGCGUAGAUAUCGUAAGGAAGACCAGUGGCGAAGGCGAGUCUCUGGACAGUUACUGACGCUGAGGCACGAAGGCCAGGGGAGCAAACGGG